UUGAUAUGGAAUUCUCUGCACUUGUAUCUUCCAUCUCCCGUUCUAGAUAAAAUGAAUUGGAAGGGCUUUAAGACGUCAACAGUCAAUGCCAUUUCUGCAUUAACGGAUGGAAUAGCGGAGCGUGGAGCAUGUUGACCUGCCUAACCUGACGCUAUGAUUCCAAAUUCAAGGAUUACGUGAACAAGAAUUCAGCAGGCAAGACUGCUACGGCUUCUCUCUACAAGUCAAGCGGUUUGCAAGACUACAAAACCCAUCUAAGGAUU
rnacentral:misc_RNA from 1 species